rnacentral:rRNA from 1 species
AUUGAACGCUAGCGGCAGGCCUAACACAUGCAAGUCGAACGAGUGGCGGACGGGUGAGUAAUGUAUCGGAACGUGCCCAGUAGCGGGGGAUAACUACUGGAAACGGUAGCUAAUACCGCAUACCAUCGGAUGUGCCCAGAUGGGAUUAGCUAGUUGGUGGGGUAAAGGCUCACCAAGGCGACGAUCCGUAGCUGGUUUGAGAGGAUGACCAGCCACACUGGAACUGAGACACGGGCCAGACUCCGACGGGAGGCAGCAGUGGGGAAUUUUGGACAAUGGGGGCAAGCCUGAUGCAGCCAUGCCGCGUGUAUGAAGAAGGCCUUCGGGUUGUAAAGUACUUUCAGCGGGGAGGCGUUAUUCGCAGAAUAAGCACCGGCUAACUCCGUGCCAGCAGCCGCGGUAAUAC